GACGAACGCUGGCGGCGUGCUUAACACAUGCAAGUCGAACGGAAAGGCCUGCUUUCCCUUGUGGAUUGCGGGUACUCGAGUGGCGAACGGGUGAGUAACACGUGAGUGAUCUGCCCCCAACUUGGGUAUAAGCCUGGGAAACUGGGUCUAAUUCCCGAUAGGACUGCAGGGUGGUGCCUGUGGUGGAAAACGAUUUUCUAGUGGUUGGGGAUGAGCUCGCGGCCUAUCAGCUUGUUGGUGGGGUAAUGGCCUACCAAGGCGGCGACGGGUAGCCGGCCUGAGAGGGUGGACGGGCACAUUGGGACUGAGAUACGGCCCAGACUCCUACGGGAGGCAGCAGUGGGGAAUAUGGCACAAUGGGCGGAAGCCUGAUGCAGCGACGCCGCGUGGGGGAUGACGGCCUUCGGGUGGUAAACUCCUUUCGACCGCGAGGAAGCCACCUGGUUGGAAGGGUGGUGACGGUAGUGGUAGAAGAAGCACCGGCUAACUACGUG
rnacentral:rRNA from 1 species